CCUCCUUCGGGAGGGGAUUAGUGGCGAACGGGUGAGUAACACGUGGGCAAUCUGCCCUGCACUCUGGGACAAGCCCUGGAAACGGGGUCUAAUACCGGAUACUGAUCAUCUUGGGCAUCCUUGGUGAUCGAAAGCUCCGGCGGUGCAGGAUGAGCCCGCGGCCUAUCAGCUUGUUGGUGAGGUAAUGGCUCACCAAGGCGACGACGGGUAGCCGGCCUGAGAGGGCGACCGGCCACACUGGGACUGAGACACGGCCCAGACUCCUACGGGAGGCAGCAGUGGGGAAUAUUGCACAAUGGGCGAAAGCCUGAUGCAGCGACGCCGCGUGAGGGAUGACGGCCUUCGGGUUGUAAACCUCUUUCAGCAGGGAAGAAGCGAAAGUGACGGUACCUGCAGAAGAAGCGCCGGCUAACUACGUGCCAGCAGCCGCGGUAAUACGUAGGGCGCGAGCGUUGUCCGGAAUUAUUGGGCGUAAAGAGCUCGUAGGCGGCUUGUCGCGUCGGUUGUGAAAGCCCGGGGCUUAACCCCGGGUCUGCAGUCGAUACGGGCAGGCUAGAGUUCGGUAGGGGAGAUCGGAAUUCCUGGUGUAGCGGUGAAAUGCGCAGAUAUCAGGAGGAACACCGGUGGCGAAGGCGGAUCUCUGGGCC
rnacentral:rRNA from 1 species